rnacentral:RNase_P_RNA from 2 species
CGAGCCGGGCGGGCGGCCGCGUGGAGUCCCUUCGGGGGUUCCCCGAGGAACGUCCGGGCUCCACAGGGCAGGGUGGUGGCUAACGGCCACCCGGGGUGACCCGCGGGACAGUGCCACAGAGAACAGACCGCCGGGGACCUCGGUCCCCGGUAAGGGUGAAACGGUGGUGUAAGAGACCACCAGCGUCCAGGGUGACCUGGACGGCUUGGUAAACCCCACCUGGAGCAAGGUCAAGAGGGACCGUAGCGAUACGGUCCCGCGCGGACGUCCGAGGGCUGCCCGCCCGAGUCCGCGGGUAGACCGCACGAGGCUGCCGGCAACGGCAGCCCUAGAUGGAUGGCCGUCGCCCCGGAGUCCGCGAGGACCCCGGGGAACAGAACCCGGCGUACAGCCCGACUCGUCUG